AACACAGUCAACAGACCGAAUAUACACACACACCAGUGAAGCUGUUACACUGACUGUAUCAGAGAGACCAACAGCUACAGUGAAAGUCCAGCCAGCUGAUCAUGUGUUCAUCAGAGAGAGAGUCACUCUGACAUGUGAAAUAGAAAGUGGAGAUGACUGGAAUUAUGAAUGGUAUAAGAAUAAUAAUCUUCUCAGAGAUGCUCAAAGGAAGGAAUAUGAAAUCUCUAAUGUUGAUCAGUCUCAUGCAGGUGUUUAUACCUGUAAGGGAAGACAAAAGACAAGCCAAACAUACACACUCCCCAGUGAAGCUGUAACACUGACUGUAUCAGAGAGACCAAAAGCUACAGUGAAAGUCCAGCCAGCUGAUCAUGUG